AACGAACGCUGGCGGCGCGCCUAAUACAUGCAAGUCGAGCGAGAAGGUGUAGCAAUACACUUGUAAAGCGGCGAACGGGUGAGGAAUACAUGGGUGACCUACCCUCGAGUGGGGAAUAACUAGCCGAAAGGUUAGCUAAUACCGCAUACGAUUCCCGGAUUACGGUUCGGGAAGGAAAGCGAUACCGUGGGUAUCGCGCUCAUGGAUGGGCUCAUGUCCUAUCAGCUUGUGGUGAGGUAACGGCCCACCAAGGCUUCGACGGGUAGCUGGUCUGAGAGGACGAUCAGCCACACUGGCACUGCGACACGGGCCAGACUCCUACGGGAGGCAGCAGUAAGGAAUAUUGCGCAAUGGGCGAAAGCCUGACGCAGCGACGCCGCGUGGGGGAU
rnacentral:rRNA from 1 species